GCUACUGUGGCCGGCAGCCGGCAGCUCCGGGGGGCGGCAAAGGUGGGAGUAGCGGGAAAGGAGAUGUUCCUCGUGUCUGCGCUGGAAGCAGGAUGAAUCUCAUGUCUAUGGCGACAGAGCCCGAGUUGAAAUGGAUAACCCUGUGGGUCCGCAUCAGGUGGGCGGCCGUGCUCGUGCUCCUCCUGGGCUCACUCGUGAUGCUGCUGCUCCCGCUGGCUGCUGUGGAAGACCAGUGCCACGCACUGCUCAAAGGACUCUCCUUCCUGAAAAGUAAACUGGGCGCAGGCUCCUCAGGCAUCACCACAUACACUGGACAAACAACUGGACUGAGCGUGACCUCCAAUGGGCUGGAGCUGCUGGUGCUGAAAGGCAAAGCCUCCCCAGAAGUAAAGUCAGAAGCCAAAGCGGCUCUGAAUCAAGCCCUCGAAAUGAAGCGCCAAGGAAAGCGGGAAAAAGCCCACAAACUCUUCGUGUAUGCCCUCAAAAUGGACCCUGAUUACGUGGAUGCCCUGAAUGAAUUUGGUAUUUUUUCUGAAGAGGAAAAAGACAUUCUUCAAGCUGACUAUUUGUACUCCAAAGCGCUCACCAUUUCUCCCUGCAACGAGAAGGCUUUGAUCAAUCGGGACCGGACGCUACCUUUAGUUGAAGAAAUAGAUCAGAGGUAUUUUAGCAUUAUCGACAGCAAGGUUAAAAAAGUGAUGGCGAUCCCCAAAGGCAAUUCUGCCCUGCGCCGGGUGAUGGAGGAGUCCUAUUAUCACCACAUCUACCACACGGUGGCCAUUGAGGGAAACACUCUGACACUGUCAGAAAUACGACACAUCAUUGAGACCAGAUACGCUGUUCCUGGAAAAAGCUUAGUGGAGCAGAACGAGGUGAUCGGCAUGCACGCAGCUUUGAAAUACGUCAACACCACGCUGGUGUCGCGGAUAGGCUCCGUAACCAUCAGUGACAUCUUGGAGAUACACCGGAGAGUGCUGGGCUACGCUGACCCAGUGGAGGCAGGGCGGUUCAGGACUACUCAGGUAUUUGUAGGACAUCACAUACCACCACAUCCCCAGGACGUCGAGAAACAGAUGCAGGAGUUCGUGCAGUGGAUUAACUCGGACGAUGCCAUGAGUUUGCACCCUGUGGAAUUUGCUGCGUUAGCCCACUACAAGUUGGUUUACAUCCAUCCAUUUGUAGAUGGCAACGGAAGGACCUCGCGCCUGCUAAUGAACCUCAUACUAAUGCAGGCGGGCUACCCGCCCAUCACAAUCCGCAAGGAGCAACGGGCCGAGUAUUACCACGUCUUAGAAGUGGCCAACGAGGGUGACGUGAGGCCUUUCAUACGCUUUAUUGCUAAGUGUACUGAGACAACUCUGGACAUGCUGCUCAUUGCCACCACAGAAUACUCUGUGGGCUUACCUGAAGCAGACGGCAGCACUGCUGGGUGCAAACAAACCAUCCCCGUCAAGACUUGAGGGUUGUGGACGUUCAGGAGCCAACGAAUGCGUGGGAGAAUGGAACCCCAAGCCACUCAGUAUUCCUGCUGGGAAAUAACUUGACAGUGAACUAAGAAGCAGUCACAGCUUGGUUCGUGAAGCAGCAAGUUACACAGUACACAUCCUGGCUCCCUCAACUGCCGCACUGCAGCCUGGGGUGCCACGCAGCGCUCUGAAGCACCAAGUCCAACCCCAGCAGCCAAAGGAAACUCAACUCAUCACCAGCGUGCCACCGGGGUGAGGCCAGCCUGGGCAUUCCCAGCCCGCAAAGCGAAGCUUCGUGUGGAAGCGUUACUAGAAUGUUUCUGAGCUGGUUUUGAGAUACAGUCCCAUUUACCAUCAGUCCGACACCGAAUGGCUAGCCCAAGCGUCUGGCCAUACUGCCAACAAGCACCGACACAACCCGGUCCCUUCCUGCCUCACUGCAACCACCGGUGUUCCGUGGUUCAAAGCUACGAAGCAGACUCAUCAUUUCAAAGCAAAGCCAAGUCAAAUCAGCACAGAAUGUAAGCACUGAAAGUGGUGUUUAUUUCCAGCAGUGCUUGUGUUGUACAAAUGAACUCAGAACUGGGGUCCCCCCUCACGUUCAACCCCUGCCUCCGCUGACCCCCAGAAUUCACAGCAGUUUUAGCUGACAAGCAGUAACAUUUCUAUCCAAGAUCACGUACCAGAUUAUUUUAAAGUCUGAGGUAAUUACCGAAAUAUAGUUUCAGGGUAUUCAUACUAGAUGGGAUGAGCUACCUAAAAGUGUUUAGGUGCCACUGUGUAUAUCAGUGCACCUGAGAGGUGAGGUACAUCAGUAUUACCCAGCUGCCACAGGAUAAGUGCAAUUCCAACACCCACAUUUUAAACAAAAGCAACAGUAUUUAUAGAAAACCUUUGAGCACUCGAGUUUAAUAAACCAAGAAACAUAUCAGCUUGCACUUCACAUUUGUACAAAACCAUACAGAAACCACCUGCAAAAGACGUAUGAGCUAGCUAGCAAAAACAACCAAAAAAUAAAAAAAUGGUCCUCAGCAACAGCAUGUACAGCUUUUAUGGGAAACAAAAAUUACCAGAUUUAAGUAUUAUCUCAUGACACUUAAAAAUAAUAAUUUGAAUGUCUUUUACAAAUACACAAUAUAAAAAACAGGUCAACUUGAACAGAACAUUAACUGAAUACAUAUAUAUGUAUAUUUGUGUAUAUACAUAUACACACAUAUGUAUAGAAACUCUCCCAAUACUAAAAUAGGCCAUUGUGGUGAAGUUACUAGCAUCUGCCAUUUAACUCUUAAUGGAAGGAGAUGACUGUCCCUGUGUGUGUGUGUGUGUGUGUGUUUGGGUGUGUUUGGGUGUAAAAUGGGUUUGUUGUCAGAGAGAAUGACUGCAAUCACAAUCUGAACUGACCAGUGGAGCUUGACAAGGUUAUCACUAGGCUUUCACGCUACAUCUCAUUCGUUAAUGAAAGAGAAAUAUUUGUAAAGUAUUCAUAAAACUUGAUGUGGCAUCCAACCUGUACAGGAAAUAUUUCCCCCCUCGUUAACCCUCAAUAUGAGGAAUCAUAUAACACCAUUUUACCAGAACAUAGUGUAACUCUUUGCUCUUAGAGGAAAAAAACCCUGAAUUUGUACCAUCCUACACUGAUCUCGAUGAAUGCAGUAGUCCAGAACAGUAUUUACAUGAUUGUGACUGGCGUUCUCUCCUUGCUAGCAUAAGGACACAACAUGGCUUCCAUAAAGGCAUUUCACAUUUUACCAGACCCGCUGAUUGCAGACUUUUUGCUCACUUUUUCAGUAGCAUCUUGGCAAAAUCAGCAUUGGACAUCUUUUUAGGCUCCUCCGGGGGUUCGGAUGAAGAUGCUGGUGAGUUCUGGACCAUCCCGUUCUCAGCCUUAGCCACAGGAUUACUCUGGCGCUGUAACGCACGGGGCAUCAUUGAAAGCUGUGUCCUUCCCUUUCCUCGCCUGGAGAACAAAAAGUGACAUUUAAAAAUACCCCAGUGCACUGUGAACAUACUGUUUUAGCUCGGGGAAACAGGAAGGACUUUGUUCACCAUGAGGAACAUUCAUUUAAAUAUUAUUCCUGUCAUUUGUUUCAGAAAUAAGUAGUGCAAAGCUUUCCAUGGGUGCCCUUUGAAACAGUAUACCUAAGUCCUGGCAGAAAACAACUACCCAACAGUCCCCAGAAAUUGAAGCUCCAUGUUUAUCUACAGGGCACGUACAACACAACACCAACACGAUGCUAAGCAGCAGGAGCACUCUGAAGACGAAAGAGCAACUUAAUGCUUGCUGUGAACAACAGCUGGUUCUCCUGAAGGAGAGGACACGGAAGUUAUUAGAGCUCAGGGGGUAACAUCAGAUCCAACGGGUCUGAUGUCCGACACCCGAUACUCAGUCACUACAGCCCUCUUUCUAUUGGUAAAAAACAAAAAUCUACUUUUCCUCAUCAAUCCAGCAACCCGAUUUCUUAUGGUUCAGCGCCUUUUAAACAUUCUCUUGUAUUCUAGAUAAGAUUCCUCUGUUGCAGCAUAUAAAGGAACCCAGUGUUUUCUUUCUAAGCAUUGCCAAGCAGUCUCCCUCACUAGUACUUACGCUCCAUAAACCUGCCGUGGUACCGCAAAUUGCGAGGCUCUGCCUGCCUCGGGCUUGUCUGGCAGCUUUCGGAGAGGUGGGUUACUGAUCGCCACCUUGAUGACGUGUUCCUUAACUGUCAGGCCAUCCAUCUUCAGCACAGCCUGCGAGGCCUGAGCUUCGUUUUCAUAUUCCACAUAGGCCAGGCCCUAAAUAAGAAAAAGGGGUAACCUACGUUAGUUUUAGUGCAUCUUUCUCCGCAUGACAGCUUUCGCUAAUAAUUUGGCCAACUGAUAAGAAAACCAUACAGAAAGCAGAUCUAGACAUGGCUAAGAGUCUCAGUAUUCUUUAGGUAAAAAAAAAUUUAUUCUCUACACAAAUCUACAACCUGCAUUUCUUGACUCUCAUUCACAAUGCCCUAAUUUGUGGGAGGGGUAUAAAAAAGAAAAAACCAAAACAGACAGGUACGGUAUCUAAAGGGACUAGCACUGCUGCCCCAAGAACAGGGACUGGUGACAAAAAGCGUUCUUUGCUGGAAAUGAAUCCACGGUGACUUCCUGAAGUGCCAGCUGCUAACCAACUGCUGUUGGUGCACCUCCCAUAACAGGGUCUUAUUUCCAGCAACGGACAAAAGUGCACCCCAGCAUCUGCUACGGCCAGCUCUGACAGAGUCCACUAGUUGGGAUGCAUCACCUCCCAGUUCUAUUGCUGUUAUUCUUUUAAAUGACAUUCAAAUCCUUUAGCUGUAUUUUUGGGUUAUGUAGUUUCACAGAAAACACAUCAGAUUUUACACAACAUUCAAAGUACAUUUAUUUGUGGUUCAGACAGAAUCCCAGCUCAAACUAAGCCGAGAACAUGGCUUGCAAGAUUUGGGGUACACAUGGAGAACACUCGUUACAAGGUAUGCAUGCCACAGGAACUGUACUUGAGAUAUUCUAGCCAAGAGCUAGAAAAUACAUUUUAAAAAUACAUUAACAUCCCCACCAGGAUGGCACCCAUUAGAAGCACCCAGCAUGCAGACAUGGCCGAGGUGUCAGGUAGAAUUUUGGCAGAGCAGCAGCUAGUUUAGAGUCUCUUAUUUAAGGAGGAGUCAUUUAUUCCAGGAUGGAAAUAAUGAGCCCUGUCAGAAAGAGGUGGCUCAUUUCUCACUGGCAGCAGGUGUUAUGAACAAUAGCCUCAAGGAACUGAAGAAAGGGAGGAGGGGAACUGGUUAUACCAGGGGAGCCCUAGCUACUCAGUUACUUUAAAAACAAAUACUCUUUACAGACUUACUAAUGCCAAUUUUUACUAUACUCAGAGUGCUGUAAACAUCUUUCCCUCUAUCCCGUUUAUAUCCCACAUUCUUCUUGCACAAUUUAAGAAGCAUUUUGGAAACGUUCCUCUUCCCCUCCUACUUAUUUAUUGGCACAAAAGCACACUAGGCUGUAUAAAUCCAAGCAUUUCUACAAGUUUUGAUGCAAAGACAGGUUGGCAAGUUUUAAAAUACAUAGCUUAUUUUUUGCAUCCAAAAAUCAUGAAGAGCUUCUCUUUGAAGGAUUUCUUAAAAUGAAGAGUGCAUUAAGGAUGCCUACCUUGGGUUUUCCAGCUCGGUUGGUGACCAGCCGAAUGUCUUUCACAUUCCCAUGUGCUUUACACACAUCUUCCAGCUCUUCCUUAGUGCAGGAAAAUGGCAAACCAGAUAUAAACAAUUUAUGUUUCUCCAGCGUAGUGCUAUACCUGAACACCUGAAGAAAGGAAAAGGCUGUUAGAUACCACACCAGUCAGAGACUCCAAGGAUUUCAACCUAUUACACCUCCAAAAGCUUAUCAGAGUACUUCAUAUUUGUGUGAUACAAAAAUACCUUUGAGUCAUGAGUAGUAUCUUGAAAGAUAUUUGCAUAUAAACAUACAGGCAUACGCUAAGGAUUUGCAAGUAAUUCUAAGAACUAGAUGCUUCUAAACACCUAUGUCUCCUUCACAACAAGAAGGGCCAUUGAUAAUGUCUUCUUGCUCAGUUGUCACUAUCUAAACCAUUAAGUUUUUCUGUACAAUAACUCCAUAACACAGAAAGCCACCGAUUAUACAACUAGUAUCAAGUACAGACCAUUAACAAGAACCAGUGGGUUGUGUAAUAAAUGCCCACAGCUGUACGACUCAGCCAAAAAACUACUCUGCAGAUUGAGAUGCUGAGGUAGGAAUCUGGGUGCCUCGCACCGUUAACAAGCUGCUCAGAUUAGCUUACUAAAGAUUUGCAGAAAUCUGCUAGUGUCAAUCUUGGUUUAUGCAAAGUAACAUAAGAUGCAAGAACUCCCAGAAAACAGUUUUACUGGCAAGACAUAGCAUUACCAUUCCAAACUAGCACAACGUGAAUUCGUUAGGUGCAAGCCCUCUGGAAGCAAGAUAUUCUGCUAGCUUUGCUAUGCAGUCCCACUCUUGGACCUAUUACUUGAAAGAAUAAAAGUUUACCUUAAA